rnacentral:rRNA from 1 species
AACGAACGCUGGCGGCAUGCCUAACACAUGCAAGUCGAACGAAACGUUCAGGUGUUGGGUCGCACGAGUUCGUAACGCGUGGGGACCUGCCCUUAGGGUCAAACUACCUCCCCGACAGGGAUACUAAUAGCGGAUCAUAGCUUCGGACGGAAGAUUUAUCGCCUUUGGAUGUGCCAUCGUUGGAUUAGCUAGUUGGUAGGGUAAAAGCUUCCCAAGGGGACCAUCCAUAGCUUGUCUGAGAGGAUGAUCAGCCACACUGGGACUGAGACACGGCCCAGACUCCUACGGGAGGCAGCAGUGGUGAACAUUGGACCAUGGGCGAAAGCCUGAUCCAGCAAUGCCGCGUGAGUGAUGAAGGCCUUAGGGUUGUAAAGCUCUUUUACCCGGGAUGAUAAUGACAGUACCGGGAGAAUAAGCUCCGGCUAACUCCGUG